rnacentral:rRNA from 1 species
UACGUAGGGUGCAGGCGUUAAUCGGAAUUACUGGGCGUAAAGCGUGCGCAGGCGGUUAUGUAAGACAGAUGUGAAAUGCCCGGGCUUAACCUGGGAACUGCAUUUGUGACUGCAUGGCUAGAGUUUGGCAGAGGGGGGUAGAAUUCCACGUGUAGCAGUGAAAUGCGUAGAUAUGUGGAGGAAUACCGAUGGCGAAGGCAGCCCCCUGGGAUAACACUGACGCUCAUGCACGAAAGCGUGGGGAGCAAACAGG